rnacentral:misc_RNA from 1 species
CCGAGUUUACAACUCCCAAACCCAAUGUGAACGUUACCAAACUGUUGCCUCGGCGGGGUCACGCCCCGGGUGCGUAAAAGCCCCGGAACCAGGCGCCCGCCGGAGGAACCAACCAAACUCUCUCUGUAGUCCCCUCGCGGACGUAUUUCUUACAGCUCUGAGCAAAAAAUUCAAAACGAAUCA